rnacentral:tRNA from 3 species
CAGAGAAUAGUUUAUUAAAAUAUUAACUUUGGAAGUUAAAGAUGUUUCUCAUGAUUCUUCCCUGA